AGUCGAGCGAAUCUGAGGGAGCUUGCUCCCAAAGAUUAGCGGCGGACGGGUGAGUAACACGUGGGUAACCUGCCUGUAAGAUUGGGAUAACUCCGGGAAACCGGAGCUAAUACCGGAUAACAUUUCGAACCGCAUGGUUCGAAAUUGAAAGAUGGUUUCGGCUAUCACUUACAGAUGGACCCGCGGCGCAUUAGCUAGUUGGUGAGGUAACGGCUCACCAAGGCAACGAUGCGUAGCCGACCUGAGAGGGUGAUCGGCCACACUGGGACUGAAACACGGCCCAGACUCCUACGGGAGGCAGCAGUAGGGAAUCUUCCGCAAUGGACGAAAGUCUGACGGAGCAACGCCGCGUGAACGAUGAAGGCCUUCGGGUCGUAAAGUUCUGUUGUUAGGGAAGAACAAGUACCAGAGUAACUGCUGGUACCUUGACGGUACCUAACCAGAAAGCCACGGCUAACUACGUGCCAGCAGCCGCGGUAAUACGUAGGUGGCAAGCGUUGUCCGGAAUUAUUGGGCGUAAAGCGCGCGCAGGCGGUUUCUUAAGUCUGAUGUGAAAGCCCACGGCUCAACCGUGGAGGGUCAUUGGAAACUGGGGAACUUGAGUGCAGAAGAAGAGAGUGGAAUUCCCACGUGUAGCGGUGAAAUGCGUAAAGAUGUGGAGGAACACCAGUGGCGAAGGCGACUCUCUGGUCUGUAACUGACGCUGAGGCGCGAAAGCUAGGAGAGCGAACGUGAUUAGAAUCCAGGUAGUCCUAGCUGUAAACGAUGCAGAAUAGGCGUUAGUGGACUAGACCCCAUCAGUACGGUAGCAACGCGAUAAGUCAACCGCUUGGGGAGUACGACCGCAAGGUUUAUAACUCAAAGAAAUUGACGGGGGCCCGCACAAGCAGCGGAGCGUGUGUUUUAAUUUGAAGCAACGAGAAGAACCUUAGCAGGUCUUGACAUCCUUCGCUACUUCUAGAGAUAGAAGAUUCCCCUUUGGGGACGGAGUGACAGGUGGUGCAUGGUUGUCGUCAGAUCGUGUCGUGAGAUGUUGGGUUAAGUCCCGCAACGAGCGCAACCCUUGAUCUUAGUUGCCAGCAUUCAGUUGGGCACUAUAAGGUGACUGCCGGUGACAAACCGGAGGAAGGUGGGGAUGACGUCAAAUCAUCAUGCCCCUUAUGACCUGGGCUACACACGUGCUACAAUGGAUGGUACAAAGGGCUGCAAGACUGCGAAGUCAAGCGAAUCCCAUAAAACCAUUCUCAGUUCGGAUUGCAGGCUGCAACUCGCCUGCAUGAAGCCGGAAUCGCUAGUAAUCGCGGAUCAGCAUGCCGCGGUGAAUACGUUCCCGGGCAUUGUACACCCCGCCCGUCACACCACGAGAGUUUGUAACACCCGAAGUCGGUGGGGUAACCGUAUGGAGCCAGCCGCCUAAGGUGGGACAGAUGAUUGGGGUGAAGUCGUAACAAGGUAGCCGU
rnacentral:rRNA from 1 species